rnacentral:tRNA from 10 species
GGAAGAGCAAAUCGAUAGGUGACGAAAACCGCUUGGAAAGUGGCUGACUGGUAAAACGGCUUGAGAGUUCGAAUCUCUCUUCUUCCGCCA